UACGGGGGGAGCAAGCGUUGUUCGGAUUUACUGGGCGUAAAGGGCGCGUAGGCGGCGUGACAAGUCACUUGUGAAAUCUCCGGGCUUAACUCGGAGCGGCCAAGUGAUACUGUCGUGCUAGAGUGCGGAAGGGGCUACUGGAAUUCUUGGUGUAGCGGUGAAAUGCUUAGAUAUCGUCAAGAACACCUAUAGCGAAGGCAGCUUACUAGGCUGUAACUGACGCUGAGGCACGAAAGUGUGGGGAUCAAACAGG
rnacentral:rRNA from 1 species